GUGCUCUUGAGGGCAUGGAUGUGAACAGGACAAGAGACGGGGAAAUUUCUGAACCUUGAGGACAUCCAGAUAGGAUGUCUAUGAACUUGCCCUGCUGGGUCAAGGAAACAGUUCUGUGGGUAAUGAGUGAUCUGUCAAGCAAGGUACUGUUUCUAACUGAUUUCACUGAAAAAGCACAGUAUGUGCCGGGUAUUGUGCUCAUGGGACGAGCUGGUUCUCAAUGAAAUCUUCCAACCAGCUUGCCUGCAAUAAAUACAAGCAGCACACGGCUGAUGAUAAAAGAAGUAGAAUCGUUGUACUUCUUGCUGCAUUCCCUGUGGUAUGGCAGAUGGAUCUGAAAGUCAUCAGCGAGCAGUGAAAGUAAUGCAGAUCUUAACAGGAUGAACAGGAAUUUGGCUUGGACUUCAUACCACAAGCAAUGACUAACCAAGUAUCUCCUGCAACAAGUUAUUUAUUAACAGUGAUUCACGAAUUAGAAUCUACACAAAUGUUUCCUUUUAAGAGUCCAGGAUGAAUCUGCCUCAGUAACAUUUAGGUGGAGAAAGUAUUUCUAUAAUAUAAACUGUGUAUAUUCACGUAGAAUUAUCAAGAGAUGAGAAAUGCCGUAUUCUUCUUCCAUGCACAAAGUCAAACGUACACACACCCCUGUGUUAUUUUUAGACUUGUUUUUCUUUGUUGGAGCACAUUUUAGAAUGCCUUACAGUAUAGAAUAUGGAACUAGCCAGCAUUUAUACAUUUACUGUCAAAAGCUAUAUGCCUUUUUGGGUAUGCAAGAGGAUCUCACGUGAAAGAUUAGCAUUUUGGCUAAAUCUAGAACAGGUAUUAUGAUAGUUUGUCUGAGAACUUCCUUGCAGAGCUAACCAAAAGCUGGGAGCCUGUGUGAGGAAAAUUUUGCACCAUGAUCUGAAAACACCAUUUAUUUAAAAGCACAGAUGGUCAAAGAUCCCUAGAGUGGGCUUACAAAUGCAACUCCAAUAUGAGCAAGUGUUAUUAAACCAGUUUCCCAUGAAAAAGAUUGCAAAACCUCCCAAGAAAUGGUUUUCCUCAGCAUUGAUAUAUAUUCAGUCAUUUCAGUAAAAACUAGAAGGGGGUCUAGGCUAAGGCCAAAUGCUUCUAGAAAAUGGCUUCUGGGAAAAGACCUUUUUCUCUUUAAUUUUUUUUAAGAAAGCAAAGUUUUUGCAAUAUAGUGUUAUGCCUCUACAGUGGAAAGUUUCAGAAUUAUGCAACACGAUUAAAAAAAGAACUAAUUAGAUGCAGUGACAGGAGGCGGAGGUCGAAGAAAACAUCUUAAUGUCAAGAUUCUUGAAGAUGGAGAGUUAUUUUGGAUGCCUUCAUUUUUGGGCAGCUACUAGAGGAGAGCCACACUUUUAAAAAAUGUUUCAGCUUCUGAAUACUGGGUUCCAUUGAAGUACUUAUUUUCGCCCAAAACUCGACAACUAGUUACUGUGGUCUUGAAGUCGUGUGAUUAUUUUACAUUCUCCUGAGUGUAAAAACAUGGUAAUAAAUACUGCAGCAGUGUG